rnacentral:rRNA from 1 species
GUCCUACGGGGGGCAGCAGUGGGGAAUAUUGGGCAAUGGGCGCAAGCCUGACCCAGCAACGCCGCGUGAAGGAAGAAGGCUUUCGGGUUGUAAACUUCUUUUAUGAGGGACGAAACAAAUGACGGUACCUCAUGAAUAAGCCACGGCUAACUACGUGCCAGCAGCCGCGGUAAUACGUAGGUGGCAAGCGUUAUCCGGAUUUACUGGGUGUGAAGGGUGCGUAGACGGGAAAUUAAGUUAGUUGUGAAAUCCCUCGGCUUAACUGAGGAACUGCAACUAAAACUGAUUUUCUUGAGUACUGGAGA